AUAAAAAGGAAUAAAUUGAACCGGCUGGCCUCCUGUAUAUGGGACAAAUUCCCAUUCCCCGGCCCGCGGAAUCCAGGUCACAACCCUGCCCGAGGCGACCCGCCGCAGCCCAG